rnacentral:rRNA from 1 species
GUGAGGAAUAUUGGUCAAUGGGCGGGAGCCUGAACCAGCCAAGUCGCGUGAAGGAAGAAGGAUCUAUGGUUCGUAAACUUCUUUUGCAGGGGAAUAAAGUGCGGGACGUGUCCUGUUUUGUAUGUACCCUGAGAAUAAGGAUCGGCUAACUCCGUGCCAGCAGCCGCGGUAAUACGGAGGAUCCGAGCGUUAUCCGGAUUUAUUGGGUUUAAAGGGUGCGUAGGUGGUUUGAUAAGUCAGCGGUGAAAGUUUGCAGCUUAACUGUAAAAAUGCCGUUGAAACUGUCGGACUUGAGUGUAAAUGAGGUAGGCGGAAUGCGUGGUGUAGCGGUGAAAUGCAUAGAUAUCACGCAGAACUCCGAUUGCGAAGGCAGCUUACUAAGCUACAACUGACACUGAAGCACGAAAGCGUGGGGAUCAAACAGGAUUAGAUACCCCUGUAGUCC